AGGUUAUAUCAGGGUAAUGAUUAAUAGGGAUAGUUGGGGGCAUUAAUAUUUAAUUGUCAGAGGUGAAAUUCUUGGAUUUAUGAAAGAUUAACUUCUGCGAAAGCGUUUGCCAAGGAUGUUUUCAUUAAUCAAGAACGAAAGUUAGGGGAUCGAAGACGAUCAGAUACCGUCGUAGUCUUAACCAUAAACGAUGCCGACCAGCGAUUAGGAGACGUUGAAUACAAAACACCGCUGUUAAUCCUUUCGGGGGUUAAUAGUUGGUGAAUGACUCCCCUAGCAGCUUGUGAGAAA
rnacentral:rRNA from 2 species